AGCAGCCGCGGUAAUUCCAGCUCCAAUAGCGUAUAUUAAAGUUGUUGCAGUUAAAAAGCUCGUAGUUGAAUUUCGAGAUCGGCUUACUGGUCGUGCUAUUGUACGUACUGGUAUAAUCGGUUUCUCCUUUCUGACGAACUAUAAUGCCAUUAAUUUGGUGUUUUAGGGAAUCAGGACUGUUACUUUGAAAAAUUAGAGUGUUUAAAGCAGGCUCACGCUUGAAUACAUUAGCAUGGAAUAACGGAAUAGGACGUUUGAUUCUAUUUUGUUGGUUUCUAGGAUCGACGUAAUGAUUAAUAGGGAUAGUUGGGGGCAUUAGUAUUCAAUUGUCAGAGGUGAAAUUCUUGGAUUUAUUGAAGACUAACUACUGCGAAAGCAUUUGCCAAGGAUGUUUUCAUUAAUCAAGAACGAAAGUUAGGGGAUCGAAGACGAUCAGAUACCGUCGUAGUCUUAACCAUAAACUAUGCCGACUAGGGAUCGGAUGAUGUUAAUUUUUUAAUGACUCA
rnacentral:rRNA from 1 species